rnacentral:rRNA from 1 species
UACAGAGGGGGCAAGCGUUAUUCGGAAUUAUUGGGCGUAAAGGGCGCGUAGGCGGCCUGGCAAGUGGACGGUGAAAUCCCUCGGCUUAACCGAGGAACUGCCUUCCAAACUGCUUGGCUUGAGUCCGGGAGAGGUGAGUGGAAUUCCCAGUGUAGCGGUGAAAUGCGUAGAUAUUGGGAGGAACACCAGUGGCGAAGGCGGCUCACUGGACCGGAACUGACGCUGAUGCGCGAAAGCGUGGGGAGCAAACGGG